rnacentral:rRNA from 1 species
UACGGAGGAUGCAAGCGUUAUCCGGAUUUAUUGGGUUUAAAGGGUGCGUAGGCGGGACAGUAAGUCAGUGGUGAAAGUCUGCGGCUUAACCGUAGAAUUGCCAUUGAUACUGCUAUUCUUGAAUGUAGUUGAGGUAGGCGGAAUGUGUAAUGUAGAGGUGAAAUGCUUAGAUAUUACACAGAACACCGAUUGCGUAGGCAGCUUACUAAGCUAUUAUUGACGCUGAGGCACGAAAGCGUGGGGAUCUAACAGG